AAUUGCUCGCUGGACAACGGCGGCUGCACGCAUUACUGCCUAGAGGAGGUGGGCUGGCGGCGCUGUAGCUGUGCGCCUGGCUACAAGCUGGGGGACGACCUCCUGCAGUGUCAGCCCGCAGUGAAGUUCCCUUGUGGGAGGCCCUGGAAGCGGAUGGAGAAGAAGCGCAGUCACCUGAAACGAGACACAGAAGACCAAGAAGACCAAGUAGAUCCGCGGCUCAUUGAUGGGAAGAUGACCAGGCGGGGAGACAGCCCCUGGCAGGUGGGAGGCGAGGCAGCACUGGCUCCUCACGCGCUGGGUCCGGGGUCACGGAGCCCAUCCUGGCAGCUGUGCUCAGGGUGCAGAAACCGGGAGGGAAACACUGCCAUUGCUUUUGGGGGAUGAUAAAGGUGGGGGAUGCUUCAGGGAAAGAUGGACGCAACCUGAGGGGAGAGGAGCAGCCAGGCUGGGUGAGGGGAGGGGCACGGGGACAUGGAGGGGUCUGCAGGAGGGAGGGUUACAGUUUCUAAAAAGAGCUGGAAAGACACUGCUCUGCUGGCGGGAUUUUAGGCAGAAGCCCU
rnacentral:sRNA from 1 species